CUUAAACGGUAUCUAGCAGGUGAAGACAUGCAAGUCCUUUAUUGGGCGUAGAGGUGAGGAUGGCUAAGUAGAUACGAUGUCAAAGUCAUUCGCUUAGUUCCUAAUAGGUAGUAGGUGAGGUAACAGCUCAACUAGCCAAAGAUGGGUAGGAUAAGAUGACAGUUUUUAUCCCACAAUGGGUGUGAGAUUCACCCAAGGCAUCAUUAGAUGUACAGCAGUCACAAAUCAUUGUCAAUGUUCGUAAGAAUGAACAUGCUAGCUAGAAUCUAUUGUGCAUUUAUGUGCUAUAGACGCUUACUUGUUAAUAAUGACAGCAAGUUAAGUGAAGUCCAUCCAAAACAUCGUGCCAGCCGCCGCAGUAAAAC
rnacentral:rRNA from 1 species